UAAAAAAAGGUAAGCUACUAAGAGCGAAUGGUGGAUGCCUUGACUGGUAAAGGCGAUGAAGGACGUACUAGACUGCGAUAAGCUACGGGGAGCUGUCAAGAAGCUUUGAUCCGUAGAUUUCCGAAUGGGGCAACCCAAUGUAUAGAGAUAUACAUUACCUAUAUAGGAGCGAACGAGGGGAAUUGAAACAUCUUAGUACCCUCAGGAAAAGAAAUCAAUAGAGAUUGCGUCAGUAGCGGCGAGCGAAAGCGCAAGAGGGCAAACCCAGUGCUUGCACUGGGGGUUGUAGGACUGCAAUGUGCAAGAGGUAAGUUUAGCAGAACAUUCUGGAAAGUAUAACCAUAGAGGGUGAUAGUCCCGUAUGCGAAAAACAAACCUUAGCUAGCAGUAUCCUGAGUAGGGCGGGACACGAGGAAUCCUGUCUGAAUCCGGGUCGACCACGAUCCAACCCUAAAUACUAAUACCAGAUCGAUAGUGCACAAGUACCGUGAGGGAAAGGUGAAAAGAACUGAGGUGAUCAGAGUGAAAUAGAACCUGAAACCAUUUGCUUACAAUCAUUCAGAGCCCUAUGUAGCAAUACAGGGUGAUGGACUGCCUUUUGCAUAAUGAGCCUGCGAGUUGUGGUGUCUGGCAAGGUUAAGCAAACGCGAAGCCGUAGCGAAAGCGAGUCUGAAUAGGGCGCUUAGUCAGAUGCUGCAGACCCGAAACGAAGUGAUCUAUCCAUGAGCAAGUUGAAGCUAGUGUAAGAACUAGUGGAGGACUGAACCCAUAGGCGUUGAAAAGCCCCGGGAUGACUUGUGGAUAGGGGUGAAAGGCCAAUCAAACUUCGUGAUAGCUGGUUCUCUCCGAAAUAUAUUUAGGUAUAGCGUUGUGUCGUAAUAUAAGGGGGUAGAGCACUGAAUGGGCUAGGGCAUACACCAAUGUACCAAACCCUAUCAAACUCCGAAUACCUUAUAUGUAAUCACAGCAGUCAGGCGGCGAGUGAUAAAAUCCGUCGUCAAGAGGGAAACAACCCAGACUACCAGCUAAGGUCCCUAAAUCUUACUUAAGUGGAAAACGAUGUGAAGUUACUUAAACAACCAGGAGGUUGGCUUAGAAGCAGCCAUCCUUUAAAGAAAGCGUAAUAGCUCACUGGUCUAGUGAUUUUGCGCGGAAAAUAUAACGGGGCUAAAGUAAGUACCGAAGCUGUAGACUUGCGCACAACUUAGAUUAUUUAAGUUUAGAAUAUGAGAAACUAAGUUAUGUUUAGUUAUAUUUUUACUGAUUUUUAUAGAGUAAAGAUAGAAAUAAAACUUAGUAAAAUCAGUAAAAAUAUUCUUAGGCUAAAGUUAAGUAGUUUAAGUUGUGUGCAAGUGGUAGGAGAGCGUUCUAUUUGCGUCGAAGGUAUACCGGUAAGGAGUGCUGGAGCGAAUAGAAGUGAGCAUGCAGGCAUGAGUAGCGAUAAUUAAUGUGAGAAUCAUUAACGCCGUAAACCCAAGGUUUCCUACGCGAUGCUCGUCAUCGUAGGGUUAGUCGGGUCCUAAGUCGAGUCCGAAAGGGGUAGACGAUGGCAAAUUGGUUAAUAUUCCAAUACCAACAUUAGUGUGCGAUGGAAGGACGCUUAGGGCUAAGGGGGCUAGCGGAUGGAAGUGCUAGUCUAAGGUCGUAGGAGGUUAUACAGGCAAAUCCGUAUAACAAUACUCCGAGAACUGAAAGGCUUUUUGAAGUCUUCGGAU
rnacentral:rRNA from 1 species